GACGAACGCUGGCGGCGUGCUUAACACAUGCAAGUCGAACGGAAAGGCCCUGCUUUUGUGGGGUGCUCGAGUGGCGAACGGGUGAGUAACACGUGAGUAACCUGCCCUUGACUUUGGGAUAACUUCAGGAAACUGGGGCUAAUACCGGAUAGGAGCUCCUGCUGCAUGGUGGGGGUUGGAAAGUUUCGGCGGUUGGGGAUGGACUCGCGGCUUAUCAGCUUGUUGGUGGGGUAGUGGCUUACCAAGGCUUUGACGGGUAGCCGGCCUGAGCGGGUGACCGGCCACAUUGGGACUGAGAUACGGCCCAGACGCCUACGGGAGGCAGCAGUGGGGAAUAUGGCACAAUGGGCGGAAGCCUGAUGCAGCAACGCCGCGUGCGGGAUGACGGCCUUCGGGUUGUAAACCGCUUUCGCCUGUGACGAAGCGUGAGUGACGGUAAUGGGUAAAGAAGCACCGGCUAACUACGUG
rnacentral:rRNA from 1 species